rnacentral:tRNA from 1 species
GGCCUUACAAUCUUUGAAAGAUAUUAAAUUGCAAAUUUAAUUAAAAUUGUAAAAUUUAAGGCUU